rnacentral:rRNA from 1 species
GACGAACGCUGGCGGCGUGCCUAAUACAUGCAAGUAGAACGCUGAAGGAGGAGCUUGCUCUUCUGGAUGAGUUGCGAACGGGUGAGUAACGCGUAGGUAACCUGCCUGGUAGCGGGGGAUAACUAUUGGAAACGAUAGCUAAUACCGCAUAAGAGUAGAUGUUGCAUGACAUUUGCUUAAAAGGUGCAAUUGCAUCACUACCAGAUGGACCUGCGUUGUAUUAGCUAGUUGGUGGGGUAACGGCUCACCAAGGCGACGAUACAUAGCCGACCUGGGAGGGGGAACGGCCAAACUGGGAAUGAGACACGGCCCAGACUCCUACGGGAGGCAGCAGGAGGGAAACUUCGGCAAUGGACGGAAGGCUGACCGAGCAACGCCGCGUGAGUGAAGAAGGUUUUCGGAUCGUAAAGCUCUGUUGUAAGAGAAGAACGAGUGUGAGAGUGGAAAGUUCACACUGUGACGGUAUCUUACCAGAAAGGGACGGCUAACUACGUG